rnacentral:rRNA from 1 species
CCUACGGGCGGCAGCAGUAGGGAAUAUUGCUCAAUGGGGGAAACCCUGAAGCAGCAACGCCGCGUGGGGGAUGAAGGUUUUCGGAUUGUAAACUCCUUUUUUUAGAGAAGAUAAUGACGGUAUCUAACGAAUAAUCACCGGCUAACUCCGUACCAGCAGCCGAGGCUAUACGGGGGGUGCCAACGUUACGCGGAGUCACCGGGCGUAAACAGCACGUAGGAGGGAUAGCAAGUCAGAUGUGAAAUCCUAUGGCUUAACCAUAGAACCGCAGUUGAAACUGGUAGUCUAGAGUAUGGGAGAGGUAGGUGGAAUGCUUGGUGUAGCGGUAAAAUGCGUAGAGAUCAAGCGGAACACUCAUUGCGUAGGCGACCUGCUAGCACAUAACUGACGCUGAUGCGCGAAAGCGUGGGGAGCAAACAGGAUUAGAUACCCUAGUAGUC